UAUAAUGAUCGGAUUAGCUGCGCUUUAAUCACUGUCUAUUGUUUCAGCAGGGAGAGAAUUUCACAGCUCAUUGACUGCUCUGACUCCUAAUCUACACCGAGGAAACAAUGUUGCAGCUCAUCAAAUGCAAUCAGCUGCUAAUUGAAAGGAAAUGGAAUUUUACAAUUACAGGCCACCUUUCAGUGCUCAGGAUUUCUAAGCACUUCUCCCCACCUUCCUUUGCCAGCUCAGCACUGGCAGGAGCACUUGACAACCUGCUAGAGACUUCCCUAAAAGCUGCAUUUAGGACCUGGCCCGUUCUCCCCAGCUCCAGAGCAGCAGCAAAGGGAAGCAGCGUCCUCGCCAAUACCUGGGCUGUCCUUCAAGGCUCAGUGCAAGGAAAAACACCUGGGUUGGACAUCAGUGCUGACUUCCAGACCACUGAGGUCACCUGCAUAAGCGAGUCUGGCAACAAAUAAUCGUCUUCCAGAAAAUGACCAGAAACUCAGCCUGCUUUUUGUCAUUUCACCAGCCCCACCAUCUUUCCUUUAUUCUAGAGCUCCUGGCACACUUACAUGAAUCUCUUGAAAGAAGAGAAAUGAGAGCAUUCAUUCCAUACUAAUACAAUUGUGCCCUAUGGAAAGGCUUUUUGCUGGCAGACAUAGUAGACGGACCAUUUCCCAACUUCUUUUUCUUUGCCACCUUCCAGCCAAAGGUGUCCAUAUGACACAGCUCUGGACAGGAUAAUUGGAAGUCUGUUGUGGGAUUUCUGAGAAAGCUUUUGAUUUUCUGACAGAGACAUUUUUGCUUCCCCUUACCACUUCCUACUGGAUUACAGAUGUGAUGGAAAGAGCUGCAGCAGCCAUAAUACAACCAUAAAGGAGAGGAGAAGAGAAUUGCAAAGGCAUCAACCCACAUUGAAUUGAACUGCUAAGUUAACACUAGCAGUUACUUGCCUCCAGAUAUCUUGGUGUGUGAGAACAUUAAAUCUGUAUGUGUCUAAAUC
rnacentral:lncRNA from 1 species